UCCUCAGUAGCUCAGUGGUAGAGCGGUCGACUGUUAAUCGAUUGGUCAUAGGUUUGAAUCCUACUUAGGGAG
rnacentral:tRNA from 1 species